GCGUAGCUCAAUUGGCAGAGCGGCUGAUUUGUAAUCAGCAGGUUGCGGGUUCAAGUCCCGCCGCU
rnacentral:tRNA from 1 species